rnacentral:sRNA from 1 species
GCCACGGUUCAUUUGCUGCGGUCAGAAGGUGUAGAGCUGAAUGACCGGGCCAUCCCCCCCGAAGACCUGAGCCAGCACCCAGCCGGCUACGUGCCUGAGCCCCCGGAGGUGAAUGCCGAGUGGAUCACAUACAGAACCUGGAUCGAGAGUCUGUCCCAGUAUGCCAUGAAUAACUGGCUGCGCUCCGCAGAGAUUGGACAGGAGAUCCAGGAGGCGUGGAUCGUGCAGAACGCCGUGGUCUACGUCCUGAACCACAACCACCACCUGAUCCUGGCCGGGCGGCAGAAGGAGCUGGUGGACGCCCUGUACCACCUCCUGAGCAUCGUCAAGGCCACGGGCCACAAUGGGGACCCUGUGAUGCUGGUGACGCUCUGCAACACGUUGGCGCGAGGCCUGAUCAUCAGCUGGAUUCCAGUCCAGGCUGCCGAGAAGUCCAGGAAAUUCAUGCGACCAAACGCAUUUCACAGCCCACUGGACACAGGAGCCACCUCCGAGAUCAAAACAGCGGUGGAGGUCUGUGAGUUUGCCCUGAACCUGAGCAACGGGAGCGCGCCCGAAGAGACGGUGCCCACCAGCACCCGGCAGCCGCUCAUCGCCACCUGGGUCAAGGCCAAGCAGCUGCUGCAGCAGCAGAUUGGGCCACGGCUGGGCACCGAGGAGCAGGGCACCAACGAGGAUGUCAGCUCGGUGACCAGAGUCCUUGUUGCCUUGGAAAUGUACUCAUGCAACGGGCUGGGCCUCAUGGACUUCACUGUCCCAUCCCUGGCCCAGUUGGUGAAAAUGGCUUCCGAGUGCAACUGGUCGGACCCCCUGGUGGAGCUGCAGACCCUGACGCGGCUGACCCACUUCGCCCAUGCGGCGCGUGACCAUGAGACCACCAUGUCCUGCGCUCACAGGGCUCUGGAGAUGGGCAUCAAGUACCUGAAGAAAUUUAGGCCCGAGGAGUCCCGGCUGGUGGCAGAGAUGCUGUGCACGGCCACGGCCAUCCAGGGCAGGAGCAUCAUGGAGAACCUGAAGGGCCGGAAGCAGCUGCGGCUGGUGGCAGCCAAGGCCUUCACGGAGAGCGCCAGGUUCGGAGGCAUCGCGGGCAGCAGCGCCCUGGUGAUGCUGGCCGCGCGGCACUACUGGAACGCCUGGCUCCCACUCCUGUCCUCAGCCGUCUACAGGAAGAAGGCCAAGAGUGCCCUGAAGAGGAUCAUCAGCAUCAUCAACAAGACAGAGGCCAGAAAGCAGGUGCGCCAGCCCCGGAGGGGGCUCCUGACUCCCACUGAGGCCUCUAGUGGGUCUUCCAGAAAGGACUGGAGAGACUCCCAAAGAAAGACAGACCCCACAGGCCUCCCAGAGGGUGCAACAGCACCAGCCGAGGAGGGGAGGGGGUUAAGGGGGGUCCCCAAGUCCCAGCACUGCAGGGGCCCCUGCUGGACUCAGUGCUCAGCCCUGACCUCCCCCAGCAACACACAUGCACCGAGUGGCUCUCAGCCCUGGAGACACACAGCAGGGGGUAGAGAGUGAGGCCAGCAUAGUCCCUGCCUUAAGAGGCUUGGAUUCUAGGCAGGGAGGACAGGUCCCACCUGCCAUGAGAGAGGGUGGCCCUGAGGAACAGCAAGCAGAGGGCAGGGCAGGGGGCGGGGGCUGGGCCACAGGUGCCUCUGGCGGUUUAAGGCAGAGUGGGGUGGCG